rnacentral:rRNA from 1 species
GACGAACGCUGGCGGCGUGCUUAACACAUGCAAGUCGAACGGAAAGGCCCUGCUUUUGUGGGGUGCUCGAGUGGCGAACGGGUGAGUAACACGUGAGUAACCUGCCCUUGACUUUGGGAUAACUUCAGGAAACUGGGGCUAAUACCGGAUAGGAGCUCCUGCUGCAUGGUGGGGGUUGGAAAGUUUCGGCGGUUUGGGAUGGACUCGCGGCUUAUCAGCUUGUUGGUGGGGUAGUGGCUUACCAAGGCUUUGACGGGUAGCCGGCCUGAGAGGGUGACCGGCCACAUUGGGACUGGGAUACGGCCCAGACUCCUACGGGAGGCAGCAGUGGGGAAUAUUGCACAAUGGGCGGAAGCCUGAUGCAGCAACGCCGCGUGCGGGAUGACGGCCUUCGGGUUGUAAACCGCUUUCGCCUGUGACGAAGCGUGAGUGACGGUAAUGAGUAAAGAAGCACCGGCUAACUACGUG